GCGGGAGUAGCUCAAUUGGUAGAGCGCUAGCCUUCCAAGCUGGAUGUCGCGGGUUCGAACCCCGUCUCCCGCUCCA
rnacentral:tRNA from 1 species